rnacentral:misc_RNA from 1 species
GUUUUGAGUCUCGCUGGAGCCACGAGAAGGAACCAUGAGUACGCCGGUGUUCAUAGAUUUGCCUAUUCCCGAACAGGCACAAGAACUAAGAAUAUACCUCAAAUCACUGAGUGCAGACAUUUCAGAAGAAAAAGCUGAAGCAGGCAUUCUUACAGAUUUACGACACAUCAUUGAAGCAAGCACGAUAUGCUGGAAUUCUAAAGAUGUCAAUGAAAAUGACGUUGAGAUGGUAUUCAAUAGCGUCAUUUCCCUCAUCCUGGUCCUGCCACCUGAGGAAAUGCUGGAACCUGUCACACAUUUCUGUGAGAAAGUCGUCAAGUGUCCACAGGGGGACCGCAGAGGUUCCCUCCGUCUAAAGCUGUGAGUUACAACUAUGGCAUGAGAUACCGUGAAUUUCUCAUUUUACCAAGUAUUAAUUUAAAUUCCGUGAUUCCACCAUUUUGUAUUACCUCUUUACAAAGAUGACUUGCAAUCUCUGAUAUUAUGUCAUGACAAAAUAUAUUUCACAACCAGGGUUGUCUCUAAAAAUUGAAGUAGAAGGGAGAAAUAAAAAAGUAGAAGGGGAUCUGAGGGUCUAGCUUAUAGCUAGAUUGUGUUUGAAAGCAAUAAUAGCCGGGUAAUUACGACACUUUAGGCGGGGGAAUUCCCCGCCUCCCGGUUCUUAGAGACAACCCUGCACAACUGUCAGAAAAUAAAAGGGAGAUUUUAGACUCCCUGAAGGAUGUUUUUGCAAGUUAAUAUUUAUAUUAAAUACAUGCAUUUAAAUUGGAAUCUACAGUAGAAGGCUAUAUGCAAAUUUAUUUACUCUAAUAGACACGAGUAGUUGUACAUUUGAUUUUGUUGGGUAUCACUGAGGGCUGAUGUUGAAUUGUGUUUCAGUUUAUCUAAUUUAUUCUAUGGACUGGAUGAGAGGUCUCCAUUAAGGGCUGACUUGUAUGUGUCUAUGGUCAAACUGGCACAGCAGGCUGAUCUGGUCCCCCAGCUAGCCAUUAACAUAGAACAGGUGAAGAAAUGGGUGUCACAGUGGGAUAUUAGCACCACCAAACUACAGAAUCUCCUCAGAUCUGUGCAUGAUGCCUUGGUUGAGGGUGGAAUGAGUGAUAAAGCCACAAAAGUGAUGAUAGAUCUGCUAGGUACAUACACAGAAGACAACGCCUCACAGGCCAGAGAUGAUGCCCACAGGUGUAUAGUGACACAUUUAGGAGAUCCUAACACAUUCUUGAUGGACCAUCUUUUAUUGCUAAAACCGGUCAAAUUUCUGGAAGGAGAAUUAAUUCAUGAAUUACUGACAAUUUUUGUGUCUGGGAAGAUUUCACAGUAUCAACAAUACUAUAAGAAUAACACAGACUUUGUUAAAUCCUUAGGUUUGUCCCAUGAGCAGAAUUUACGCAAGAUGCGGUUCCUGUCAUUUGUCCAGCUAGCCGAGGACAAGAAAGAAAUAGACUACGCUGUCAUUCAGAAGGAAAUGCAGCUCGAAGAGGCUGAGAUUGAGGACUUCAUCAUUGAUGUGCUCAGAACUAAAUCAGUGAGAGCCAAGAUUGACCAGCUUCAGAAGAAGGUGAUGAUUAUGUCCACCAUUCACCGGACGUUCGGCCGACAGCAGUGGCAGAUUCUGCGACAGACGCUGACACAGUGGCGCGAAAAUCUCGGCCAAGUACAGACUAGUCUUCAGCAGCUCGACUUGAUGCAGACCCAAACACCAGCAUAGAACGAGGCAUAACCCGAGGAUUAAAACAGCGAGACUCAAAACUGUUGAUUUAAAUCUCUAUAAGUGUAAUAAAUGGACAUCAAUAUGUCAAAUCAUGUACAUGUAUUUAAAGACAAUAAACUCAUUAACUGG